UUUGAAUUUAAAAAGACAAUCGGAGCGAGCUCAAGGCGGGAUCAUAUUUGGGAAAAUACAACCCUAAGUCUCCAAUAAGACGAGAAAUUCCAGUCCGGUCUGAAACGCGACAAUGCGAAAAGAAUCGAGACAUUUUGCCAACAUAUUCCGUGGGCGAGUUUUUCAUGGGCUUACUUCAAACUCGAAACAGUGGGCUGGCUCAAACCACCAAGGGCUAGGCGGUCAGUGCCCAGUAAUCUGCCGCCCAAUCUGCAGGGUCAGUUGAUUCUUCUUCAUCACCACUUCUUGCUUCUCUCUCCUUUGAAACAAUUAAUUGUGCAGCAAGAAUUGGUUUGCGCAAUUAUUCAAACCCUCAAUCUGAAAAGGAAGAAAACCCUAAGUUCUGUAAGCAUAGUUGAAAUUAGAAGCUGAAUUUAGAUUCAUAACGGAUCCCGCCAAAAUGACGAGUAGUUGGAGGAGAACAUUUGGCAAUGUGAGGUCCUUUGUUGAAAAUUCUAUGGGAGGCUUAAGGGGAGGCAGUAAUUUGGCCUCGUGGGUAGUGGCCGGAACACUAGCUUAUUUCCUCUGGGUCAAGCCUUCCCAGCAACUCAAAAAAGAGCAAGAGGCAAUUUCUCACUCGCUAUUUCACCUUCAAUUUGUAAUUUUUUCGGACGACUUUGAUGUUUGUUGUUGUUUAUUUUUAUUUUGGCAGGAGAGGGCAGCGUUGGCGGCAGCUUCAGAUCCUUAUAAAUAUGUCGAAAAGCGCAAACCGACUCCGGAUUGUCAGGUACUGCAUAAAGUUUCUGAUCUGGGGGAAAAUUUUUAGUUUUGAUGGAAGUGAAAUUAAUGGGAGUGUAGGUGUAAGUUUUUGCAGGAAACUGGAGUCAUAUAUGGGAAUAAAAACAAAGAGAACAAAUCCGAGGAAUGAGUUUCUGGAUUUUGAGUAAGUUUGGAUAGUUUACAAUCCGCUGAAAUGUUGAAAAGCUGAGGAUUAAGAUACUGUCUGUUAUACAUUAAUAGAUGUCUGUGUGCAUUGAAAAUUAUUACUCUAAAAUAGUUGUUUAUCCAAGUGACAGUUCGAAUAAAUGAUUAAAACGAAAAUGCGGCGCGUAAUAUAUGUUGUUAAUGUUUUUGUUUAGUUGAGUUAGUCAAUGAAUUUUAAAGUAUGUGAUUUUCUUUACUUUCUCACCGAGGAAUACUGAAUUACUGUACACCGUUUUAAACUUGGAAUAUGUAAUUAUUGAUAUUAAAACCCAAAAAUGAGUAUGUUCGAAUGCAUACAACAUGCUAGUGUAAAUUAAUAGUCCAUUUAAAUUCAUAAAUGAAGUACUGCAUUUAGCGUGUGGGAUUCAAAAUUAUGUAGAGGAGAGAAGAUAAGGAUGGUACCAUCAUAGGAAGUUUUUCAAAUUUCAGCUACUCAUUUGCAAAACUUGAAUCCAUGAUUGGAUGCCCACCUUUCAAUCCUGGAUAAAGUGUGGCGUGAAUUUGUAUCUUUUCAAUAGACAAUGCGCUGUUCAGAUUACAAGUUUUCCCCCUAUUUGAUCUUCCACACGACCUCAUAAUCACCUGACUACCAGAUUAAACAUCAGAGUCAUGGAAGCUAAAUUGUGUUUGACAUUAGCAAUUUAGUACAACAUGAAAAUGUAGUCAUGCAAGAAAACUGAAAUCAGAUUUCUUUAUUAUUUUUCUCUUGGAAAAAUUUUGAGUACAUGGCGUGCAAGGUCUUAAAGAUAAUUCCUGUGUUUUAACCAUGCUUGUGGAGUUGACAUAUGAAAUUCAUUGUCCUCUUUCCUCCACGUAGACUUCAAUAAUGCAAAGCUCAUUACUAAGGCCCCAUCUGCUUCAAAACAUUUUAUCAAUUUAGUUAAAAACAAAAGAUCUACUCAUCUUUGAAGUUUCAUAUGUUUGUUUAUAGCAAGCACUAAUUAAGUUAUGAAGAAUUUAAAAAGUUUAUGAAGUUUUUGUAAUCACUUCUUUCUUUAUUGAUUAUUAAAAUGAGCAUAAUCAAGAUAUAUAUACUUCAAACAAAAAGGAACCUUGGUUGUAGGGAAGGAAGAAGAAAUUUUGAGUUAAGGAGCACAAUCAAACUUUGUACAAAUUGAAUUUUUUAUUUUUGAUUUUUGAAUGAUUCAUACUUGACUCGAGAAAAUGCAGAUUUACAUUUAAAAAAAUUCUUCAUUUAUAUUUUACUCAUCAUUUUCAUCCAUUUGAUUUUGAACAGUCAUUUAAUAACUAUUUUGCUCAUCACAAAAAAAUACAUAUUUAUGUUUGAAAAAUUUAUAGUGUAUUUGAUAUAAAUAAGAAUGAUAAUCGGGCUCGUCUACUCUAGCCGUCUGUGGCUCGAGCCGAGUCCCAUUUUGGAGGGUCGGCUAGAGUCGGGCCGGCCCUUUAAAAAAAUAUAUCAAUCUGCCGCUAAACUGCCUUAACCGGCAACUUCAUAGCUGUCGAUAAAGGCAGUAUCCGAGCUGCCUGUUUAUAUCUACUUGUUUGUAGCUUGUUGGCAGCAGAUUUUAGUUGCCAAACAGGCAACUAAGAGGAAAAAAAUUCCAGAAAGUCGAGCCAGCUCGGUAAUGCCCGAGCAAUAGCUUAGAUCGAGCCUUAAUUUUUUGAUCGAGCUUUUGCUCGAAGCCCAAGCCGUGCCCUAGCUGGGAGUUUCGACUCGGCUCGACUCGUUGGCACCCCUAGGUACAAACAAUCAAUUCAAAUAAUCGAAAGGAAAAACAUAUAACCAAUAUUCAAUACUAAUAAUCAAUCAAAUAAAUACAAUUCGUUAAAUAUAAGUUAAAUUGGAUAUAGUCAGUUCAGACACAUUCUAUAUACACAAAUAAGAUAGGAGAAAAUGCAAAUUUAGAUUCUAAUUUAUUGAAAAUUUGAUUGGAAAAUGAAAAUUUAUAGUAGAUGUGAUAAUUGGUAAAAAAAAUUAAAUAAAAAUUUUAAAAAUUUAGAAGGGUUAAGGUUUUGAUAAAAGACGCGAGGGAGAGAGUAAGAUAGAACGGGUGAAAAGAGAAAAAAAAUUCAAAUUUAUUGUGAUUUUACCCAUGUUUGGUUGGAAUUAAAAUAAGAUUUUUAGUAAAUUUUGAUAAAAGUUAAAAAGCUAAUGAUUCCAUGAAAUAUGUUAUUAAAAUUUAUUGUUAACUUUGAUUUAAAUUUUAAUCGAUACCAAACAGAACUUUAUCCAAAAAACAGGGAAAAAAAUCUCAAUAGAUUGGUUUUAUAAGAUUUUUAGAAAAAGCAUGUACUUCACUUUUAUGAAGUUCAUCAAGGUUUGCCAUGACAACAUUGUGCACUAUAAUGUACUUUUCGAGCCUUCGCAUAAUUUUGCAUCUACACCUUCACGUACCUUAAUUUGUUACUAUAAAUUUAUUGUCAGUUGCAACACAAAUAAAUUACUUCUUAAAUUCUUUGAACUUUGACUUAACAUCUUAUUUUGAGAAUGAAGCUGUCUAACAGAUAUGCAAGCCUUUGGGAAGUUUAUGACAGUAUCAGUUCAAGAAAGUUGUUCCAAUGAACCAAGUAAUGAGGUGCCAUGGUUUCCCUUGCUGCCUUCUGGUUCUAUUUACAAAUAAACAAGUAUUGCGGUGCCAUGGUUUCCCUUGCUGCCUUCUGGUUCUAUUUAUAAAUAAACAAGCAUUGCGGUCGAUACUUUUCUUCUAUAAAUCAAUCUACUGAUAAACACAAGGCUGCCUUUCUUGUUGUUUAGAAAAAUAUAUAUAUAUAUAUAUAUAUAUAUAUAUAUUUCUGAAAAAUUGAUUCCUGUAUAGCAGCAUUUGGUGUCUGAUUUUGGAAACAGCUGAAGAGACAAAUGAUUGCAAUGAGGGGACCUGGAAAGUAUUUGGUUUCCUAAAUUAGAACUAGCAAAGGUGAUCGAGGACUUCAACUAAUGGCCAGAUCUUGCGAACAGAAUUGGAGUUAGCUUGAGUUACAGUUGUCAUUACUAGUAUACUUUGGAUCAGUAACCUUCAUAGAUAAUGACAUUAUAUCACUUUGGUAAUGUAAGUUUCGUCCACUGCUUCAGCCAAGGAAGGUAAACAGCCUAGGGUACACUUGGUCAUCUCUUUUAUGGAUUUUGAUGGUUCCAAUAUAACAUGUAUAAUGAGUGGUUGGUGGUGUCUUUGUGAUGGUUCCAAUAUGACAUUUGUAUUGGACUGAGUGGUGGUGGUUGUCUAUGUGAUGGUUCUGAUAUGACACUUUUAUUGGACUGAGUGAUUGUUGGUGUCUUUGUGAUGUAUCCAAUAUGAUAUUUUUAUUGGACGGAGGGGUGGUUGGUGUUUUUUUGGUUUUCAUUUGGUUCAAGUCAAGUAGUGGUGGUGUUGAUUUGAAAUUGCUGAACUGACAAUAGGAAUGGUUAAUAUUUUUUAUGUUGGUUGAUAUUAAGGGAAGUAAUGGUGCUGUUCUGUCCAAGAAAGAAGACCGCGCUUGGUCUUUGCCCGGAAUGAUUUCAAUCUUAUCAUUCUUUUAACAUGAAAUAUGACCAUGCAUUUUUUGAGAAUUAUAAGAUUGUUAUUACUGUAUAUUACAUAAAUGGCCGAAUGUUUUUAGCCAUAGGUCUCCAUUUCACCAGUAAGAAGAUAACAAAUCUGUGUAGAUUAAUUGCUGUUCCUGAAUGGUGGAUAUACGUGAAUUGAAUAUGUUCAACAUUUCAUGGAGUUCUUUAAUGAUGUUACUUCUGUCAGUUCAAAAGAAUGUACUGAAUUCUUAAGCAACCGUAGUAAUAGUUACUACCUUUCACCGAAAUGUUUGAUUAUUUCAUGCAACUCUUCACAAUUGGUGCAAAAUA
rnacentral:lncRNA from 1 species